rnacentral:lncRNA from 1 species
CUGUGAUUAGGUUGCUAGUUUCCCUUCACUGCAUUGAUACUUUGUUUUGUUGGACUCCUUGCUCUUCUUUGCUUGGAAGAUAAUCAUGAUGUUUAAGAGUUGGAUUAACUGUGACCGAUUACCAGUGUGAGAUUUGAGCCAUUUGAUGAUCUUUCUUGUGUGUGAUAUGUCUCUAGAUUGCUUGCACAUUUGCCUUGGCUUGACUUUGUUGAUAAUUCUUGAUUCAUGAGCAUGUUUGAAAAUGAUAAAGGCAUUUUGUUGAUUGAGCCUCUCUAGCCAGAUAGCCUACCCUGUUAUGAUCUCUUUGUUAGCCCCCCUUGAGCCUAUACUUCCCCCAUUUCUUUGUUUUGAAGCUCAUACAAUAGCCUAAGUGAAAAACCAUGAUUACUUGAACCUUAGGGAAUUUUGGAGCUUUGGAAUUGUUUUGGGAAUAAGUGUGUUCUCUUAGGAGUUACAGAUGAAUUGGCUAGUGAGUCCUCUUCUUGUGGUUGCAUUGUAAAUAUCAUGUAUCUUGUCUCUUAGAAUUGUGUUAUGAAAAGAGAGAACAGAAAAGAGACAAGAUGAAAAAAAAAAGAAAAAAAUAAAAAAAUACAGAAAAAUGAGGAAAAUUAAAAAAAAAAUUGUGUGAAUAAUGGAGUCAAGAAGAGGAUUGAAUUAAAGGUUUUGGGUGUGAUUUGACUGUGUUUACACUUGUUCCCCAUUGCUCCUCUAUUCCUUUUGGUUUUUAGCUUCUUAUCCAGAUGUAUCCUCCCUUGUCCUUGGC